GCGGAGGGCUGGAUGACCGCGUGGCACCGGGUCCAGGACCCGUCGCCGCGAGGAAAGUCCGGACUCCAUGAGGCGACGGUGCCGGGUAACGCCCGGCGGGGGCAACCCCAGGGAAAGCGCCACAGAGAACAGACCGCCCGCGUCCGCGCGGGUAAGGGUGAAACGGUGGGGUAAGAGCCCACCGGGGGGCUGGCAACAGACCCCGCAUGGCAAGCCCCACCGGGAGCAAUGCCGAAUAGGGACCGCGCGCGGGGGCAACCCCGCAGGGCCGCCUUGCCCCAGCAGGUCCGGGUAGGCAGCUAGAUCCGGCCGGUAACGGCCGGGCCAGAUGAAUGGUCAUCCAGAGGGGCAACCCCUUGGACAGAAUCCGGCUUACAGGCCCUCCGCGCGU
rnacentral:RNase_P_RNA from 1 species